rnacentral:rRNA from 1 species
UACGUAGGGUGCGAGCGUUGUCCGGAAUUAUUGGGCGUAAAGGGCUCGUAGGCGGUUUGUCGCGUCGGGAGUGAAAACCAGGUGCUUAACACCUGGCUUGCUUUCGAUACGGGCAGACUAGAGGUAUGCAGGGGAGAACGGAAUUCCUGGUGUAGCGGUGAAAUGCGCAGAUAUCAGGAGGAACACCGGUGGCGAAGGCGGCUCUCUGGGACGGUACUGACGCUGAGACGCGAAAGCGUGGGGAGCAAACGGG